GCUGGAGCUGCCCCAGCCGGAGCGAAGUCGCUGUUCUCAGCUGCAGCCAGGAUCUGCCCCCGGCCCCGCUGGGAUACAGGCUGCAGAAUGUUUUGCUCCAGCUCAUCCCAGCCUGGCAUGGGACAGGGAAGAGAAAUGGCUGCAGUGGAGUCAGUCCAGGGGCUGGUGACCUUCAAGGAGAUGGCUAUGUAUUUCACCAGGGAAGAGUGGGCUCUGCUGGACCCCACUCAGAGAGCCCUCUACUGGGAUGUCAUGCAGGAGAACUAUGAGACUGUUACCUC